CGUGUUAAAUUAUAUUCUCCAUAUAUAUACAAUCCAUUGA
rnacentral:sRNA from 1 species